GUUACAGUGGCCGAGUGGUUAAGGCGACACCCUGCUAAGGUGUUGGGAUUUUCCUUCGCAGGUUCGAAUCCUGUCUGUGACG
rnacentral:tRNA from 1 species